rnacentral:lncRNA from 9 species
AUCCAAAAGUAAAUUACUUUGAAACUGUCCUUGCCAUGAAAAUCUUCAUUGCUUUUGCUAGGGCUUUUGCUUUCCUCUCUGCUUUCCAACAGUGUGUGACAUGGCUGGGUUAUGACAAUCAAUAGGCUCACGCUGAACAAUGUCCACUGUGAUCUGAAUGUCAAGUUGAGCUGCAGCUGAAUUUUUUUUCUUCUUCCACAGAUCUUGCUGCACAGAAACCACCAGCUCUACCCUGUGAUCCAAUUCCAGAGCGAUCACAAAGCAAUCAUCCUGAAGCUGAAAGGAUGGGAAAGAAAAGACAGAGAGAAGAAGAAGAGGGUGAAAAGGAAGAAGUCAUAGAAGAGAAUGUGGCAAAGAAGGAGAAGGAAGAAAAUGAAGAACUACAUGACAAGAAGAGAUUAGCCAGCAAACCCCUCCUGGACACCCUUUGGGCAACGUUUAAAUUAAUCAGAUUCCCCACAAGAGGAGUUAUUUCCUCCCUGGCUUUUGAAUUCAGCGUGACAGAAACACAGAUAAAUCAAUGGUUUCGUCAGAAGAGGAAGCUAUACAAAAGAGAAAUAUACAAGAGAUGGAAGAGAUGUUGAAUAUGUUGGAUGCUGGUCUUUUCUUGGGGCCUUUUGGCCUCAGAUAUUGACAGAAGCUCAUGUGCCUGGAAGGAAAGAAGAUAAAAACGGCAUCAAUGUUUUAUCAGCCCUGGACUGUCUAGAGAAUUCUGAUGUAUUAUUUAUGUGUUUUUAUGUACAAAUCGUUUAUGUAGUACCUCAAUGGAUCAUCGCUCUAAACCAAAAAUGGGGAAACUGAAUUGCUGGCAAAUAAUGCGAUUUCAUCAACAAGCACCAGUUCCUAAAUGGCUAAGCCUGAAUUUGUACUUUCAUCUUUCAGACACAGAUGCUAUGUUUUCAGUUCUAACUUGAGAAAUAGUCUAGGUCAAUCUGUGUCUCAUAUGCAGUAUUUAUGAACUGCUAAUGAUCUCUCAUAAGCUUUCAAUGUGAGAGUUUUUCCAAGUACUUGUACCUUCUCCACCUCCUUGAAUUCUUGAUCUCUUGGAAGCUUUCAAAAAUGUUUUAGGAAGAUUCCUUCUUCUCUGGGGUCAAAGGCUUUCAAUUUAACAUGCUUGGAUCUAUGUUAAAUGCAUGGAAUGUGUUGGGAACUCUGAUCUGGCGUUUCUGUGGUUGUGGUGUGGGCGGGUAGCUACAGCUCUGAUUUGACCCCUAGCACGGGAACCUCCAAAUGCCAUGGGUGCGGCCCUAAAGGAAAAGACAAAAGAUCCCCCC